AUUGAACGCUGGCGGCAUGCCUUACACAUGCAAGUCGAACGGUAACAGGUCUUCGGAUGCUGACGAGUGGCGAACGGGUGAGUAAUGCAUCGGAACGUGCCCAGUAGUGGGGGAUAGCCCGGCGAAAGCCGGAUUAAUACCGCAUACGACCUGAGGGUGAAAGCGGGGGACUCGCCAGGGCCUCGCGCUAAUGGAGCGGCCGAUAUCAGAUUAGGUAGUUGGUGGGGUAAAGGCCUACCAAGCCGACGAUCUGUAGCUGGUCUGAGAGGACGACCAGCCACACUGGGACUGCGACACGGCCCAGACUCCUACGGGAGGCAGCAGUGGGGAAUUUUGGACAAUGGGCGCAAGCCUGAUCCAGCCAUGCCGCGUGCGGGAAGAAGGCCUUCGGGUUGUAAACCGCUUUUGUCAGGGAAGAAAUCCUCUGGGCUAAUACCCUGGGGGGAUGACGGUACCUGAAGAAUAAGCACCGGCUAACUACGUGCCAGCAGCCGCCGUAAUAC
rnacentral:rRNA from 1 species